rnacentral:rRNA from 1 species
UACGUAGGGUCCGAGCGUUGUCCGGAAUUAUUGGGCGUAAAGCGCGUGUAGGCGGCCAGAAAAGUCCGCUGUGAAAACUCGAGGCUCAACUUCGAGCUGUCGGUGGAAACUUUCUGGCUAGAGUCCGGAAGAGGAGAAUGGAAUUCCUGGUGUAGCGGUGAAAUGCGCAGAUAUCAGGAAGAACACCCGUGGCGAAGGCGGUUCUCUGGGACGGUACUGACGCUGAGACGCGAAAGCGUGGGGAGCGAACAGG